rnacentral:rRNA from 1 species
CCUACGGGAGGCAGCAGUGAGGAAUAUUGGUCAAUGGACGAGAGUCUGAACCAGCCAAGUAGCGUGAAGGAUGAAUGCCCUAUGGAUCGUAAACUUCUUUUAUAAGGGAAUAAAGCGUGGGACGUGUGGGGUUUUGUAUGUACCAUAUGAAUAAGGAUCGGCUAACUCCGUGCCAGCAGCCGCGGUAAUACGGAGGAUCCGAGCGUUAUCCGGAUUUAUUGGGUUUAAAGGGUGCGUAGGUGGCCUGUUAAGUCAGUGGUGAAAGUUUGCGGCUCAACCGUAGAAUUGCAGUUGAAACUGGCAGUCUUGAGUACGGUAGAGGCAGGCGGAAUACGUGGUGUAGCGGUGAAAUGCUUAGAUAUCACGCAGAACCCCGAUUGCGAAGGCAGUUCACUGGACUGCAACUGACAUUGAGGCUCGAAAGUGUGGGUAUCAAACAGGAUUAGAUACCCGAGUAGUC